rnacentral:misc_RNA from 1 species
GAUGAAGAACGUAGCGAAAUGCGAUAAGUAAUGUGAAUUGCAGAAUUCAGUGAAUCAUCGAAUCUUUGAACGCACAUUGCGCCCGCCAGUAUUCUGGCGGGCAUGCCUGUUCGAGCGUCAUUUCAACCAUCAAGCCCUGCUUGCGUUGGGGUCCUGCGGCUGCCCGCAGGCCCUGAAAACCAGUGGCGGGCUCGCUAGUCACACCGAGCGCAGUAAUACAUCUCGCUUUGGGUGUGCGGCGGGUUCUUGCCGUUAAACACCCCCUUUUUACCAAGGUUGACCUCGGAUCAGGUAGGAAUACCCGCUGAACUUAAGCAUAUCAAUAAGCGGAGGA